AUUCCAGCUCCAAUAGCGUAUAUUAAAGUUGUUGCGGUUAAAAAGCUCGUAGUUGGAUUUCUGCCGAGGAUGACCGGUCCGCCCUGUGGGUGUGCAUCUGGCUCAGCCUUGGCAUCUUCCUGAAGAACGUAGCUGCACUUGACUGUGUGGUGCGGUAUUUAGGACAUUUACUUUGAGGAAAUUAGAGUGUUUCAAGCAAGCGCACGCUUUGAAUACAUUAGCAUGGAAUAAUAAGAUAGGACUUUGGUGGUUUAUUUUGUUGGUUUGCACGCCGAAGUAAUGAUUAAUAGGAGCAGUUGGGGAUGUCCGUAUUCGAUUGUCAGAGGUGAAAUCCUUGGAUUUAUUGAAGACGAACUACUGCGAAAGCAUUCAUCAAGGAUGUUUUCAUUG
rnacentral:rRNA from 1 species